rnacentral:rRNA from 1 species
AGCAGCCGCGGUAAUUCCAGCUCCAAUAGCGUAUAUUAAAGUUGUUGCAGUUAAAAAGCUCGUAGUUGAAUUUCGGGAUCAGUACGCUGGUCGUGCCUUCGGUAUGAACUGGUGUCACUGGUUCCUCCCUUCUGAAGAACCGUCAUGCCAUUCAGUUGGUGUGGCGGGGAAUCAGGACUGUUACUUUGAAAAAAUUAGAGUGUUUAAAGCAGGCUCGCGCUUGAAUACAUUAGCAUGGAAUAAUGAAAUAGGACGGUUUGACCCUAUUUUGUUGGUUUCUAGGAUCGACGUAAUGAUUAAUAGGGAUAGUUGGGGGCAUUAGUAUUCAAUUGUCAGAGGUGAAAUUC